UGUAAUAUCUAGGUGAUAUUGCUGUGUUGUAGCCUCAAGUUUGAGUGAUCUAUCUUGUUAGUGGCAGUGAGUGAAACAGGAGCUGUGGAGAGUCUUUAACACGCUGCUGCUGCGCCGCUGGCACCGUUAGCUCCUGGAGGCUACUUAGCUAAAGAAAGGCAUUUUCCUGUCCCUCCUCCUACAAGUCAGGCGGGUGGCUGUCUGACUGACUGCAGACCAGAGCAGCAGAUCAUUUUAGAGAAGAGAGAGGAGGAGGAGGAGGAGGAGGAGGAGGAGGGAGAGCAUGGACAAUGACGUCACCGGUGCAUGAUCACAAAUGAUACAGCCCUGUGAAUGAGUUGUUGGAUUCUCCUCAGCAGAAACUUACUGCAUUUUAUCCAGAACAUCAGGAGCAGCUUGACCAGAGCUGUGCCCCCCUGAUG